CUCUAACCCUUAAAAUUGAUUUUUAAAAUAAAAAUGAAUAAUAGAGGGAAUAGAGAAGGAAGAGAAUUAAAAAAAAAAAUAAACAGAGGGGAUGGGGAGGCUGCAAUGAGGAGGGGACACAUUAGCUUACCCAUGCAGGCUUUAUGUUGGCAGCGUGCAGUGUAUGCUGGAUGUAAAAUAUGCACAAAAUUGACAUUAGGUAGGCCAAUGAUGCGUGUGCUGGGGAUGCAGUUAUCCCACGGCACAAAGUCCUAAUUAAUUAAUUGUUUCAAGCUGAAACACUAUGCAGCUAGAUUCCUUCUUCUAAGACCACUUCAAAAAGUACAAGUGGUCAUGGGCGAUGGAGUAACCGUUUAAACAAAAAAGAUCCCCUCUUCAAGGGUACCAUAUGGGACAUGCAGUUAAUUGAAGAAAAGUCACAUACAAGAUUGUAUGAGAUAAAUUGCUUUCAUUUCAACAGCUGCUGUUGAUAAAAAAAUUAGCCUUUUGAAUGUAUCAAAAUUCUACUGCCCAUAUUUGGUAGUACAGGUUGAAAAAGAGACAGUUACCCAAAUAUAUUGAACUAGAGCUUAUCAGAGGUUUUUACAACUUGCCCUUUGGUUGAACAGCCCCUGAGUACAAAUCCAGCGAGGACAGACUGUGUAUUAGAAUUAUAAUUAGGGUGUUACUUACCAACAUCAUUGCGUUUAUUUAUCCCCUCAAACUGACCCUAAAUGUACCCCACUAAUUGCUGUAAUACAUGCCUAAUUUAUUUAUCAAUAAUUAGCUACA